UCCAGACUCCUACGGGAGGCAGCAGUGGGGGAUAUUGCACAAUGGGGGGAACCCUGAUGCAGCGACGCCGCGUGGGUGAAGGAGCGUUUCGGCGCGUAAAGCCCUAUCGGCAGGGAAGAAGGAGGACGGUACCUGACUAAGAAGCCCCGGCUAACUACGUGCCAGCAGCCGCGGUAAUACGUAGGGGGCAAGCGUUAUCCGGAUUUACUGGGUGUAAAGGGGGCGCAGACGGCAGCGCAAGCCAGGAGUGAAAGCCCGGGGCCCAACCCCGGGACUGCUCUUGGAACUGCGUGGCUGGAGUGCAGGAGGGGCAGGCGGAAUUCCUGGUGUAGCGGUGAAAUGCGUAGAUAUCAGGAGGAACACCGGUGGCGAAGGCGGCCUGCUGGACUGCAACUGACGUUGAGGCCCGAAAGCGUGGGGAGCAAACAGGAUUAGAUACCCGAGUAUG
rnacentral:rRNA from 1 species